rnacentral:rRNA from 1 species
AUAUACAGUCAUGCCAUCCUGAACGUGCCCUAUCUCAUCUGAUCUCAUCUGAGAAGCUAAGCAGGGUCAGACCUGGUUAGUACUUGAAUGGGAGACCACCUAGGAAUACCAAAUGCUACAGGCA